rnacentral:rRNA from 1 species
UACGUAGGGGGCGAGCGUUAUCCGGAAUUACUGGGCGUAAAGCGCACGCAGGCGGUUCGCCAAGUUUGGAGUGACAGUUGUCGGCUCAACCGACAAAGGACUUCAAAAACUGGUGAACUUGAGGACGAGAGAGGAACAUGGAACUCCAGGUGUAGUAGUGAAAUGCGUAGAUAUCUGGAGGAAUACCAAAGGCGAAGGCAGUGUCCUGGCUGGCAUCUGACGCUGAGGCGCGAAAGCUAGGGGAGCGAACAGG